UUUAGUUUUUGUCAUAAAUGUGUGUUUCGUUUAGGAUUAAAAAAAAAAAAAAGAAUACGCGUCAUGAUUUAUAUAGGGAGAUACUUAGUUAACAACUCUGUGGUAUUAUUUACUAAAAUAAAUUCGUGGCUGCGAUCCACCACAUCGAUGGCGGACAUGUUUGAAAUCCCAGAAUUGCAUCGGGGAGAAUUAGAAAAUGCUCUUGUUCGCUGCUUCCAGCAUUUGUACGGGAAUAUACCUGAACACAAUAUAUGAUCAAUACCAUAAUAAA